CUGAUGUAAGAAAUCAUCUGUUUUGUCGAGAGAGGUUGAGAGGGAGGGAGGGAGGGAGAAGAACACAAAUCAUUAAAUUAUUUGGUCUCUUUCCUUUGUUUUUUGGGUUACUUUCUUGAAAGACAAAAUACAAAGGGAAGAUAUGAGAAUUUGUUAAUAAUAUCACAAUUCGUAUACUGCAAACAGAUUUUCAAUUGAUAACAUCAUGAUGUACAGUAGUUUUCUUGUUGCAUAUUGACAAGGAAUGGAUGAAAUGUGAGUACUUUUUUGUUUUUAAGAAAAUCUGGAAAAACUUGCAAUUUAUGAUACAAUUUGCUAUUCCAUAUGAUUCAACCUCUCUUAUGAUUUGCGAUAUGACAACAUUGCAUGUGGGUGGGAAAGAAUUGGCUGUAUGUGAAUCUUAAAAUACGAUUGCUGUAUUUGAUCAUUUCUCUUAUCAUAUCCUAUAGGAGCUUUGCUAUGCCAAAUGCUUGUGAAAGAAAUGUCAUCGAAACGCCACCACAUGGGACAGUUUGGCACACAGACGCAAGAUCUAAGUGGUCUUAUCAUCAUGCUGAACAGGAUUUACAAAAGAAAUGGAUGGAAAAAAACUCACAAUUCCUUAGGGUCGACAAGGCAACCAAAGGAUCAAAUAUUUAAUACAAUUUUGUGCUCAUCAGAGUUAAAAAAAAAGGAAAUAAAGUUGGGUGUGUCAGGGAUUCCAUAAGCUGGCCCUCUAUUGCUCUGCAAUAUAUGUAAUCUGUUGAAGGGGUGAACAAAAGAAAAGAAAUAGUGCUGGUGGGAGCACAGGUGACUUCUGCUGUUGCAUUCACGGGUUGAACCAAAAAAAAAAAAAGAAAAGAAAAAGAAACUUCGAAUAUUUCCCUCUUUACUUUACCUCUAUCUGGCAGAAAAAAGGAAAAUUCCUUUUUUUUUUUUUUUUUGUCUGUCCCUAAAUUAAAUAUUAAAUAAUAGGAGACUUAAAUGAAAGUUCCUUUUUUGCAUUCGCUCUCCAUUGCAUUGGCGGAACAAAAAAUUCUGUUGCAUCAAUAUGGAAAUAUUUAGUACAUGAAGCCAUGAUUUGAUAUCUAUAUCUAUAUCCUAUAUAGAUAUAAACUGAUCUUUUUUCUGGAAUCGAAGAAAGAUAUUGAAAAAUAUAUUGCUCUUGUCACUCCAAAUAAAUGGUUUCUCUGUGGGGGAAGGGAAUAACGAUUUAUUCCUAUAAUGGGAAAACUGUGAAGACUGUAGAAGUUCUAUCAACUACUUGAUUUUUUAUUUGAAAUUGUUAUUCUGCUGUCCCUAUUCUUUUA